CAAGAAAUAGUUUAUAAAAAUAAUAGCUUUGGAAGUUAUAGAUGCUAUAUGGCUUUCUUGA
rnacentral:tRNA from 1 species